UACGUAGGGGGCAAGCGUUGUUCGGAAUGACUGGGCGUAAAGGGUGCGUAGGCGGUGUAGCAAGUUAGAAGUGAAAUACCUAGAGCUUAACUCAGGUGCUGCUUCUAAAACUGCUAUACUUGAGUGCAGUAGAGGAAAGUGGAAUUCCUAGUGUAGCGGUGGAAUGCGUAGAUAUUAGGAGGAACACCAGUGGCGAAGGCGGCUUACUGGACUGUAACUGACGUUGAGGCUCGAAAGCGUGGGGAGCAAACAGG
rnacentral:rRNA from 1 species